rnacentral:lncRNA from 1 species
AGAAGGCACAUAAUUUAUUUUUUUUUAAAAAAAUCCUCAUGGCUCAAACAAUAAUCACACUAUGUUAAAUAGUAAUUACACAACAAAUGAGACUAAAAAAAAAUCCUCAUGGCUCAAACAAUAAUCACGCUAUGUUAAAUAUUAAUUACACAACAAAUGAAACUAAUUAAUUAAUUAACGAAUCAUAGAAGAUGUAGGAAUUGGUGGCACAGUUAACCCCUUCUCGUUUCCAUUUCUCAACAUUGCCUUUCCAUCCUGCAAUAUCAAUAGCUUAAUUAGUAUUGAAAAUAAUUUUUUCUUGACAAAUAUCACAAACACAACAGCAGCAAUUAAUCAACGCGUUCGAAUAUGAAGCCUCUGAUAAUUUAAAUAUUUCUCGUAAUUUUCUUUGAUAUCUUCUCCCAGAAAUCCAUCCACACUGAAUAGUACCCAUAGCAUAAGCAAGAAGACAAGUAUGUCCUUUAGCUGCCAUUUAUAAAAACAAGAAAAAUUAUUUACCCCCUUAAUAACUUUUAAGUGAAUUAAAUACACCCUCAAAAUCACAAUUUCAGUCUCACAACAGAGAGUGCACUACACACGCGUCAUAUCAUUAUCAUAUCAGUGCCAUGUCAUUGCCACGUAAAAAAUUAUAAUUUUUUUUUUUUAAAAUAACCCUACACAUAUACUAUUUUUAUAUAUUUUUUCUAAAAAGUAAAAAAUAUAUAUGUAUUGUUUUUAUAUAAAAAUAUAUAUAUAUAUAUAUAUAUAUAUACCCCCCUUUCCACCCCAAAAAAAAAACUCCUUCUACACCACCCCACCCCACCCCUGCUCUUUCUCCCCUUUCAGUACACGAAAAAUGUCCUCCCAACCCAAUUUCUUUCUUUUUCAAACACGAAAAUACCCCAACCAAGUCAAAAAUAUUUUUUUUCAUUUGUUUUACUACACAAAAAUUGUCUUAUAACAAAAAUAUUCAAAAGUAAAAAUCAAAAAAAUCUUAUUGAUGAUAAGUGGUUUAAAGAUAAAAUCAUUAAUUUAAUUUAAUUUUUGUUUAAAUUUUAAGAAAGUUGGAUUAAAGGUUGAGAUGAUGUUCAAUGGAGGAAAAAAAAUUAAUUUAUUAUCUUCGUGGUUGUUCUUUGGUGAUAUUAAUGGAGGAAAAUUAAAAAAAUCAAAAGAGAGUGUUGGUAAAGAAUGUAUUUGAGGUUAUUAAUGGAGGAAUUUGAGUGUUAUUGAUGUUUUGGAGAAAAAGAAGAUAAGUGUCUAUUUUUUCUUUUAAUUUCUAUUAUAUUUUGAAUAUAAUAUUACUGAAAUUAAUUUUUUUAACUAAUAAAUACGCUCUUUUUUACUUGAAAAUGCCACGUCAUCUUCAGGGGUGAAACUAAUACACUUUAAAGAUGUUAAAGAGGUAAAUAAAUAAAAGUUUAGUUUAAGUGAUAAAGUAAGUUGAACGGACAAGUUCAGGGGAAAAUCAUGUUUUCUCCUAAUGAAAUUUGCAUUUUAGUUAGCACAAAUGUAUAAUCAUUAGAAAGGCAGUUCCAUGUACUAAAUUUUUGUUAUGCGCGAGAUUCAGAAAACAUUUGAACCAUAAAAAUUUUAGAAUCAUAAUCACAUGGUAGCAACUUUAUCGAUUACCCCAAGACUCUCCUUUAAUAUUUAAUCAUUAUUAAGAAAAAACUAAGUAAUGCCUAAUAGUAGUGAUAUUAGUUAAAGUUUUGUUUGGAAUGUAGUUUAUUUGAUAAAUUGUGUUUAAUAAUAUCGUGUUGUUUGAUAUGAAGGAAAAUAUUUUUCAAAAGAAACUUUAUAUCGUUACUCAAGCUUCUUUAAAAUUUAGAAGCCACUACAAAUAGAUGGGGUAAAUGUAUCACUUACAGUACAAUUCGACAGAAUUCAAUAAUUUUAGCUCAAAUCUUAUAUUUAUCUUAUAAAAAAUUGGCUUCAAAUCUAAAAUCCACCUCCACUAAGGAAAAAUAUACGAAAGAUAGUAGUUUUUCUCCUUUUAAUGGAAAGUGGAAACCAGUUGUUUAUGUUGUCUAUUUUGUUGAGAAAUGAUUCGAAAAAUGCUUGACCAAGUCUUCAGGAGGUCGGUAGUUAAUUUCCUUUAUUCUAACAAGUUUUAAAUAGUAUUACAGAUUAGUAGGCAAUCAGUAAUUAGUGUGUUAGUGGACCUAGAUUUUAGUAUUUUUCAAUUUUAUUGUGUGUCUACUUAUAGGCAAGUCUCUUUACUUAAAUUAUGCAUCAAAAAAAUACAAACAAUCAAUUGUUUUUUCUUUUUUACUGCUCUGUUUCAAGUUCACUUUCUCUUUAGAUUUUCUUUUUCUUUCCAACAAAUCUGGUAUCGGCGCCAGGUUCCUUUUGAAAUUGAGUGAGAGCAGAAAGACUAGCCCGAAUGAGAUUUCAUAGAAUUUUUUAAAGAGCACAGGACGAGCGUGUAUGGAGUUUUGACUGAGUUGUUUAAUAUCAUUUUGAGGAAAGUAAGGAUGCCCGAAACGUGGAGAUGCAAUACGAUGAUUUCAUUGUACUAGAACAAAAUGACAUUCAAAAUUGCAAUUAUAGAGGUAUUAAGUUGUUGAGUCACGCUAUGAAAAUGUGCAAAAGGUAGUGGAGGGUCACUCAAUUACAUAAGUCAUUCACUUCAUUAGGAGAUUGGAGAAGUAUAAGAAGAGAAAAAACGGUGUACGCAUGGUGUUCAUCGACAUAAAGAGGACUAACGAUAAAGGCUUCCGGGAGGUUCUAUGAAGGUGUUUGGAGGCUAGAUGUAUUCUUGUGGCGUAUGUUAGGUCAAUUAAGUAUAUGUGUGCCAAAGUCAAGACUCGCGUAGAACUUGGGGAGAGGACUUAAAGCAUUUUUCUAGUAUUAAUGGGAUUGCACCAAUGAUCGACUCUUACACCUUCUCUAUUUACCUUGGUGAUGGGUGUAUUGAUGCGGCAAAUUCAAAGUGAGGUGUCAUGAUGUAUGUUAUUUGUAGAUGACAUAAUUCUGAUUGACGAGACACGUGGAGGAGUCAAUGCUAAGUUAAAGGUUUGGAGAGAGACACCCUUUGAGUCUAAAGGGUUUAGGUUGAAAAGGAUUAAGACGAAAUAUUUUGAGUGCAAGUUUAGUGAGGAAACACAAAAGACUAGCAUGGUAGUGAAGCUUGAUAAUCAAGUCAUUAAGAAGUGAGAUAGUCUCAAAUAUCUUAGGACUAUGAUCCAAGAAAAUGAAGAGAUUGACAAGGACGUCACUCACUGAAUUGGAGUAUAGUAAAUGAAAUAGAAGCUCACAUCCGGAAUCCUAUGUGAUAAGAAUGUUUAUCUCCUCAAUUUAAAGGCAAAUUUCAUAGAUGAGAAGGGGGAGGGAGUCUAAAUCAUGCCUUUGCACUGAUCUACCACUAUUGGUUGCAGAAAACUUUACUAGAACAGAGGAACAAGUUUAUAGCUCAAAGAUGCAAUUGCUGUAUUUCUUUUUGUCAAAACAUCCUUAGUCACUGUCCAAAUUGAGAAGUCAAGUGACAAUAGGCAAUAAGAAAAAACUUAAUGUAGCACCAUGAUCGUAUAGUCUGCGUAUAAAAACGGCAGACCAUGUAUUUUGGUGCUCAAAUCGUUUACAUUAGUCGAGUUAACUAACCAAUCUUCAAAGACUUAGAAGAGGGCAGACAGUGGUAAACACCACACAAAACUGAUGAGCAAGAUUGCGACUUAUAGAUGUAACUGAUGUAUUUCUUAUUAACAAAACAUCAAUUGCCACAUGAUGUAACAUGAAGAGUCGAGUAGCAUCAGAUAAUAAGAAAAACCUUGAUGUAGCACCAUGCUCGUAUAGUCUGACGAUAGUAUAAAAUGAAAGACCAUGUAUUUUGGUGCUCAAUAACAUCCCAUCAAUCAACCAACAAACUUGACUUCAAAGAAAUGUAAAUGGAGGUCAGCAGGCAUAUCAAACCCAAAUGAUUAUAAACAGAGAAGCAUCUAAAGUUUAUCUUGAUGGCUUAUACUCAUAAUUUAAGUUGUACUAUCUUUAGAGUAAUCAUGCACUUUAUACCUAACAACAACAUACGCACUGUAAUCACAUAAGCGGGGUCUAGGAGGGUAGAGUAUACGUUGACCCUUACCCCUACCUUGGGAGGUAGAGAGGUUGUUUUCCGAUAGACCUUCACCUCAAGGAAAAAGAAACUGUGGAAGUGAAAAAGCCAUAGCAAAAUACCAUAGAACACAUUUGAAAAGAGCGAAAAAAUCUGCAACAAACUAAUACAAUAAUCGAAGUACAUGAAACCUAUGCUGCUCAGACUCUCGAGUGCAUGUCGGAUAUUUCAAAACUAAUGCAUUUUCGGAGGAUUCGACACGGGUGCAGCAACACUUUUGGAGAGUCUACCGGAGGAAUACCACAAAGUAUGGACACACUUUAUGCAAUUAUGCCUACCUUGAAAUUAAAGUCUCUUGACAUUAAGUAACAGAGGACCUAGAAAGAAAGAGGGUUUGCUCGUAUAUGAAAUUUGUUGGGAUUAUUUGAGUUUUCUGAGUCUAGAGUACUUUCCUACAUAAAAACAUCAUCAUCAACAACAACAACAACAACAAAAAACCCAGUGUAUUCCCACCAAGGGGAGUCUGGGGAGGAUAGAGUGUACGCAGUUCAUACCGCUACCUCCAGAGAAGUAGAGAGGCUGUUUCCGAAAAACAUCAUCCUAAGAAUUUCUCCAAAAAAAUUUAACUUUGAUAUUUUCAUAAUGGAACGCAAAAUGAAGAUCACAAUAGAUUACGUGCCAUAGCCCAGCAAAAGGGGCUAACCAAGGGCAGCUACUGAAGAAAAGGGCAGUCAAACAUACACACCUAAGUACAGAAAUUAACAAACGACAACAUAAAAGGGGAGCCCAGUGCACGAAACCUCCCGCUAUGCACAACUUCAUGGAAGGCCCCACCAUAAGGGUGUAUUGUAUGCAGCCUUACCUUGCAUUUCUGCAAGAGGCUGUUUCCAAGGCUUAAACCUGUGACCUUGCAGUCAUACGGCAGCAACUUUUCCCGUUACUCCAAAGCUCCCCUUCUACUAAACAACAACAUAUCCAAUGAAAUUCCACAAAGUUCUUGAACAAUUUAAACGUUAUUUGCAAAUGCCACAAAAGCUCAAGAAUAUUUUUUGACAAACAUGAUUUACAUCUAUGAUCAAGAAUAUCAACGCAAUGCAAUCAGAGAACUUUGAAGGCUUAUGAUAUGCAUCUUCUACAUACAAAUUCAGCUAACAGUUCCUCAUCAUUUUGCUUUCUUUCGAAUAAUAGUACAUACAAAUUAUUAAUUUAGAAAUUUUAGUUGAAACACACUCAAAACAAGAGUCUGGGAAAACGACCAGGCAACGCAAUCAGAGAACUUUGAAGGCUAAUAUAUGAAUUUCAACAUCUAAUUCAGCUUAAAUAUUCUCAUCAUUUUGCUUGCCAAUUCAGCAAAAACACAAAAAUGUUCAGUUAAAAAAAAAAGGACAGUCAUGCACAAGUUCCGAGGCAAGGCCGAACCACAAGAGUGUAUUAUAUACAUACUUAAACUAUAUAUAAAAAGCUAUUUUCACAACUUAAACCCGCAACAUAAUGCAACUUUAUUAGUUACUAUAAAGUAACAUUUGAAUAGAAUUUUUGUUUUGGCAAAGUAGAGCUGAAUAAAUAACUCAAUAGUCAGCCACAAAAUUUUGCCAAAAAUAUAUCAAUUUGGCACCAGAAAAAACCUUUAUCUCGUAUUUCUCUGCAAUAAACAACUUUAUAUUACAAAGGGCUAUUUGGUGCACAAUCUAUAACAUCCAUUUCCAUUUGAAAAAAAAAAUACAAAAUCUAACUAAAAUUAAAUUAAAAAAGUUAUACAACAAAACAAAAAUUCACAAAAUAUUUUUUUUGCAUUUAACAAUAAUUUUUGAAUGUACCUGCAAAAGAACUUUUAAUGAUGUUGAAGCAGUAAAUCUAUGGCGGCGAAUUGUUGUUGUUAUUUAUAGGGAAAGAUUAGGGUUUUGGUUUGGUUUACUAAAGGGAAAUGGUCGAAAUUGCCCCCUCCCACUAUCGAAAAAUGUCCACUUUUUUCUCAACUCCAUAAAACAUGUAUGGCCAUACAAUUUUGAAAAAAAGUUAUUUUGGCAAAAUAUCCUG